UACGGAGGGUGCAAACGUUGUCCGGAAUCACUGGGCGUAAAGCGCAUGUAGGCGGUUUGGUAAGUGGAUGAUUAAAGACCGACGCUCAACGUCGGAUCGGUUGUCCAUACUGCCUGACUUGAGGAGAACAGGGGUAAGCGGAACUUUAGGUGUAGGAGUGAAAUCCGUAGAUAUCUAAAGGAACACCAAUGGCGAAGGCAGCUUACUGGGUUCUUUCUGACACUGAGAUGCGAAAGCGUGGGGAGCGAACGGG
rnacentral:rRNA from 1 species